UUGCACGCUGGCGGCAUGCCUUACACAUGCAAGUCGAACGGCAGCACGGGUGCUUGCACCUGGUGGCGAGUGGCGAACGGGCGAGUAAUACAUCGGAACAUGUCCUGUAGUGGGGGAUAGCCCGGCGAAAGCCGGAUUAAUACCGCAUACGAUCCACGGAUGAAAGCGGGGGACCUUCGGGCCUCGCGCUAUAGGGUUGGCCGAUGGCUGAUUAGCUAGUUGGUGGGGUAAAGGCCUACCAAGGCGACGAUCAGUAGCUGGUCUGAGAGGACGACCAGCCACACUGGGACUGAGACACGGCCCAGACUCCUACGGGAGGCAGCAGUGGGGAAUUUUGGACAAUGGGCGAAAGCCUGAUCCAGCAAUGCCGCGUGUGUGAAGAAGGCCUUCGGGUUGUAAAGCACUUUUGUCCGGAAAGAAAUCCUUGGCUCUAAUACAGUCGGGGGAUGACGGUACCGGAAGAAUAAGCACCGGCUAACUACGUG
rnacentral:rRNA from 1 species